rnacentral:lncRNA from 1 species
CCUCUAAAGAAUGUGAAACUGGCUCAUUUUUCUCUGCUGAGACAUUUUUACUGUCCAAAAGGAAGUAAAGUUACUGAUCCUGCUUUUUCACUUAUAUCCACAGUUGUUUAAAUGCUAAUGCAUGGUCUCAGUGGCAGAACUAACCACCCUGAAGCAUGUUUCCCUCUCCAGGAGUUUCACACUUCAAUUCUAGCUCUGAGCUGAGAUAUUGGAGACCUCAGUGAGGGUGAGUGAUGCCCAAGGGGUGUUGAGAGUGGCUCUCUGGACAUGCUUGCUCCUGGCACUGCAGCCUGUCAGUACAUGAGGCGUUAAUGAGAAGUUUAUGACGAAAGUGAGGGUCUCUACUCCUGCUAUUCUCCAUCACAGAUAUGUUUUUUUCCGCAAGAGGACAGAGGCAUCUCUUUCUGGGCAACAGGUGUGA